UUGUAAAUUUAUUAAAUGUAGUCAAAUAUUCUUUGAUUUUGGUGAAAUUUUUAUAAAGACUUCUACUAUUUAUGUGUUAUGUGCUUUUUACAUUAA